rnacentral:lncRNA from 1 species
GCACUUCCUGUGUUCUGGGCUGGCCUUUUCCUCUCCCAGGUGCGCUUCCCUGCUUGAUCUGUGUACCCUGCUCUUUCUCCUUCAUUCCGCAGCCUCCUUUGCCCUGUGACCUGCAGGUACUGGACGGUCCCUAGAGAGGAUACCGGGACGCUCCUGAAGCCGCGAGAUGAGCCACCAUCACUCAUGUUCUUGAAUGGGAACUGCCUGGAGACCCUGAAGAAGAAGGAGCCUGAAGGAGGAAGGAGGAGGCUGAGCCAUCCCGGGAACAUGGGCUGGAUGAGGCCAAGCCAGGAGACGACACCACCAGAUAGAAGUCACCAUUCAGGAUUUGGACUUUUCUGUGGAGAUCCUGGCCCCGAGAUCGAACCCUUCUCCCUGUGUUCCCGCAGGAGAUGGUGCUGGAGAUCCACCAGCUGUUCAUGGACCAUGAAUACCCAUGUCACCACAUCACUUCUCACUGCACCUGGGUGGCAGCACACUGGACCACGUCUCAGAGCUGCGCAGCAUGGCAGGGCUGCAGGCGGGCUUGCUGCUCCACGUGGUGGAAGAGCCCUGCACAAUGCACAAGGCCCACGGUGAUGAGUGCCACAUUUGAGACUGCUCAGGAGCCUGGACCCAGCUGAUGCAGCUCCUUGUCCUUCCUGAGCGUCUUCACUGACAGUGGCCUGAGAGACGGCAGGAGCAGAAAGACUUGGAGAUGGACCCCACCGACUGCACACCACCCAAGUACAUCCUGCUAGGGACCCUGGAACAGCCACUGUGUCCCCUGCAACCCCAGAACGGUGACUAAAAGCCCCUGAAAGUGCUCACCGUGAGCGGCUGGUACCUGUCCCCUGGGAACUGCAAGAUGCACAGGACCUUGUGUACCUGUUUGUGAUCACAGCCGAGGACCAGCGAGGUAGCAUUACCACAUCCACACAGGGCUUUUACCAUAACUGCCCCAGUACUGGAACGAGGAGCUGCAGAUGAUGAGGGACCUACCCAACAAGAACCAACCUGAGCAGCUGCUUCAAGAAAAAGCCAUGUUCAAGGUGCCUGAAUCCCCUGGUAAGUGAGUGACAGCCUCACAGCCUCAGGCCCACCUGGCUCCUGCUGGAAGGUUUUCUUGUGCUCGGGAGAGAAGUGAGGGAAGCCGGCAGUCCCAGCCCUGUCAGGUGCCCUGAAGGCCCGUCAGGUUUGCCCUGCAAGGCCUUCUAGCAUUCUGCUUCCUGGGAGACCAUCCCCCACCUUUCUCCGGCCUCUGAGACUUUGAGUCCUUGGGAGGAGAAGGCCCUCCUUGCUAUCUGGGCUGAGUGGCCAGGGCCAUCCAGCUUCCCACCCUCCACUGACUGCCAUGGGGCCCUCCCCUGAGCACAUGGUGCCCAACUGUAGCCCUUCUAGGGCAGGGGCUCAUUGGCAGCACUUGCAGCUUGCUGGCACUUAAAAGUCAUUAGUGCGGUUACUGAGAGAAAUGAGGAAAAAAUAAUUGUUAAAAAAAAAAAAAAA